GCCUGAAUGCUCACAGGCAAACUUGGGUGCUCUCGAUGCAUCAGGAUCCUUCAUUGGUGGCGUCAGCUCACCACUUCUCAGGUCCUCAGGGCACUUCCAUCAGGGGAGAAAUAAUCUCGGUCCUCCUCCUUCAGUAUGGAAGGAAACUGAACAAAAGAGUUAACUUUAUAUUGGCAAGUGCAGAUUCGCUAAAAACAGCAUGGGAGGUACCUAUGAAGAACUCAUACUCGUGAGGGAGAGGAAGACUGACGACUGUCCUAAUGCACUUUGUCACCCGGAGUUCAAAACACAAGGACUGGUCGUGGAUCUGUCUUUGCUGCAAUGACCUGGGGGUGUGUAUCAUCAGCCUUUGUGGAUAAAUCCUUUGAUAUUGGGGUACUCUAGUUUCUUGAGACAGAUAUGAAUUUCUUUAAUGGGAGACUACAGAUAAGGAGAUAAUAGAGAAUCCAGAAAAGCACCAAUCUGAGGCUUGGUUAAUUACAUGCAUCUCCAAUGUUAUUCAAGUAUGCUCUGCUCAAGCUGGGAUAAUGAGAGUUCUCAAGCUACAUUUCUGGAAGUGUUCUCAACCUAGAACUUCUGUGAAGACAACCAUGAGACAGACAUUAUUUCAGGACAUGAAGAAUCCCAGAACGUAAUAAAGGGACUUUCAAAUUUAUAAAUUUCACGAGUUUAUGGAGCUUAGAGGUAAAAUCAAGGAAAACAAUGCAUGUUCCUAUAGAGAGCGCCUCAUGGAAACAAGGGAUACUUCUUUAGUCACAUGGGAUUACAUUUUCACCUGGAAGAACCAUUUUUUUCCUCUCUGUCUGUUUCAGGAGGAAGCCACGAGCUUUUUUAUUCACAAAAAGAGAGAGGAGGCAGAAGUGACUUCAGAGUGCACAUGGAGAGGACAGAGACAAGGACCCAGGACGUACAACUGGACGACAGUCAGCUGACAAAGAUGUCCUUGGACUAUGAUCCUCUGGAUCAGUUGUGAAAAGCCUUUGAUAACACUCUCCAAAUCUCUACAUUUGUAAGGCACUGGAAUUCCUUUGUGAAAGGAGUUAUAUUUUGAAUAAAGUUUACCCAGAGGUCAAAAAGA
rnacentral:lncRNA from 1 species